AACACGAAGUGAGUGGCGAACGGGUGAGUAACACGUGGGUAACCUGCCCAGAAGUAGGGGAUAACACCUGGAAACAGAUGCUAAUACCGUAUAACAGAGAAAACCGCAUGGUUUUCUUUUAAAAGAUGGCUCUGCUAUCACUUCUGGAUGGACCCGCGGCGUAUUAGCUAGUUGGUGAGGUAAAGGCUCACCAAGGCAGUGAUACGUAGCCGACCUGAGAGGGUAAUCGGCCACAUUGGGACUGAGACACGGCCCAGACUCCUACGGGAGGCAGCAGUAGGGAAUCUUCCACAAUGGACGCAAGUCUGAUGGAGCAACGCCGCGUGAGUGAAGAAGGGUUUCGGCUCGUAAAGCUCUGUUGUUAAAGAAGAACGUGGGUAAGAGUAACUGUUUACCCAGUGACG
rnacentral:rRNA from 1 species